rnacentral:tRNA from 1 species
AUCCCCUCCGGACCCCCCGGGCGGUUUCCUAAACCGCAGGCCGCAGGUUCGAGCCCUGCCGGGGAUACCA